rnacentral:rRNA from 1 species
AACGCGAAGAACCUUACCUGGGCUCGAAGCGCAGUGGACCGGGGUAGAAAUAUCCCUUCCCCUUAAAAGGCUGCUGCGGAGGUGCUGCAUGGCUGUCGUCAGCUCGUGUCGUGAGAUGUUGGGUUAAGUCCCGCAACGAGCGCAACCCUUAUCCCUAGUUGCCAUCGGGUCAAGCCGGGCACUCUAGUGAAACCGCCCCGGAUAACGGGGAGGAAGGUGGGGAUGACGUCAAGUCCUCAUGGCCUUUAUGUCCAGGGCUACACACGUGCUACAAUGGUCGGUACAAACCGUCGCAAACCCGCGAGGGGGAGCUAAUCGGAAAAAGCCGACCUCAGUUCGGAUUGGAGUCUGCAACUCGACUCCAUGAAGCUGGAAUCGCUAGUAAUCGCGGAUCAGAACGCCGCGGUGAAUACGUUCCCGGGCCUUGUA